rnacentral:rRNA from 1 species
GUGGGGAAUAUUCCGCAAUGGACGAAAGUCUGACGGAGCAACGCCGCGUGAGUGAUGAAGGUUUUCGGACUGUAAAGCUCUGUUGUUUAGGACGAAAGUGCCUGUUGCAAAUAGUUACAGGUAUUGACGGUACUGAACGAGGAAGCCACGGCUAACUACGUGCCAGCAGCCGCGGUAAUACGUAGGUGGCAAGCGUUGUCCGGAAUUAUUGGGCGUAAAGAGCAUGUAGGCGGGAAUCUAAGUCUGUUGUGAAAAUGCGGGGCUCAACCCCGUAUUGCGAUGGAAACUGGGUUUCGUGAGUGCAGGAGAGGAAAGGGGAAUUCCCAGUGUAGCGGUGAAAUGCGUAGAUAUUGGGAGGAACACCAGUGGCGAAGGCGCCUUUCUGGACUGUGUCUGACGCUGAGAUGCGAAAGCCAGGGUAGCGAACGGGAUUAGAUACCCGGGUAGUCC